GACGAACGCUGGCGGCGUGCUUAACACAUGCAAGUCGAACGGAAAGGCCCUUCGGGGUACUCGAGUGGCGAACGGGUGAGUAACACGUGGGUGAUCUGCCCUGCACUUUGGGAUAAGCCUGGGAAACUGGGUCUAAUACCGAAUAGGACCACGCGCUUCAUGGUGUGUGGUGGAAAGCUUUUGCGGUGUGGGAUGGGCCCGCGGCCUAUCAGCUUGUUGGUGGGGUAAUGGCCUACCAAGGCGACGACGGGUAGCCGGCCUGAGAGGGUGACCGGCCACACUGGGACUGAGAUACGGCCCAGACUCCUACGGGAGGCAGCAGUGGGGAAUACUGCACAAUGGGCGCAAGCCUGAUGCAGCGACGCCGCGUGAGGGAUGACGGCCUUCGGGUUGUAAACCUCUUUCACCAGGGACGAAGCGUAAGUGACGGUACCUGGAGAAGAAGCACCGGCCAACUACGUG
rnacentral:rRNA from 1 species